AGUGAAGAAAACAAAGUCCAUCAUAGUUUUGUGCCUACUUUAGGAGAAAAUAGGCAUGGUAGUUUAUAUUUGUUGAAGGUUGUUUUGGUUGUAAGAUGGUGCCUGUGAUUUAAAGGAGCUAUUCAGCAAGUCAUCUGCAGCAAGGUGGGAAGAGUUGCAGUGUGUAUGACAUAGAGCUGAUUUCAUGAUUGCCUGGUGUUUUGAGAAAAACAUAGCUUUGAGUUCACAGCUGAAAAGAUGGAAUUGUUCUGGAAUUAAAGGAAAUCGAAGAUAUUUUGAAAACAUGCACAGAUAUAUGGAUAUAAGUAAGUUUGUAUAUAGACAAAAUAUUGUCUAUUUUUCUGGGUUGG